rnacentral:misc_RNA from 1 species
CGCUAUUUAGAAGCCGGUUAUCGCGAGCGGUAUUUUUAUGGGGCAACACUGAGCACGCUACAGUGCAUUCAGAGUCAUUCAAGCUUGUCAUCCUCGAUAUUGUCCAUCGAUAACCGCAGUCUUGUCAUCUGAUACAGUCCAAUAUAUCCGCAAAAAAUCGGCUUUUUACUUCUCGUGAACUAAACGAGAUCGUGCACAAGCUUUCUCGGUGGAAGGAAUGUUCGCAAGAUGGAAAGAAAAGACAUUUGUAACGUUUAUAAUUUUAAAAGUCGCACGAUCUUAUUAUUAUGUAAAACAAAAUAAUUUUUCCAAAUGUAGAUAAAUGUCACUUCCAAUGUUGUUGAGUGUCAUUUCCUUUCAAUUAUUACACGCUUAUUAAUUUAUAUUCAGAAUAUUAGACAAUUAGCUAUGAUUACACUGUGAAUGGUGAAAGUGGGAUUGAACAGUGAAAGUGCAUCACGAUAAAAGAAACAUAUUUAAAAAUGCAAUUUAUUGUCCCGCGAGUUCGUAUUGCAAACAAUGGCACAAAGUUGAGAAGUUUAAGUAAGAAUCAACCGCAACUCUCCGUAGUGGCAUUAUAAAAUGCCGCAAUACGACGACAGCUUCCUCGACUCGCCGAUGUUUCGGCGGCGAACUCGCAGUUAUACCGUGCAAAAACAUUUCCUACCGAAGUCGAAAUCUUUUCACAUCACGGCCACACCCUUGCUGUUGGCCGUAACCAAUCACGCCAGGACUCUUUCCGGUUCCUUAUCGACCUGCAACUUGAAAGAAGUCGAGGAGCGCUCCGGCGGGAAGGCGCGCGGCGGUAAACUAGCGCGUCGUGCGCGCUCCUUCAAGGAGGACUUUCUGGAAAAGCUCUCCCACAUGCGGUCUCCUGGUAGCGGCAGCGGUGGCGGCGGAGGCAGCGGGGCGGCCACGAGGGCCGCCUCGCCCUCGUCACCGCGUACGCCGCGAGACAAGAGCGCACCGGGCUGCAACGACUCCGGCACCGCUGUGGAUAAGAAUCCCUUACGCGAUCUGCACAUUCACGUACGGCAGGUGCAGCUGGCACUGCUCCACUUCCGGGAUGUCGUGUCCAAGAAGAAACUCGAGAUGCUGCCCGGCAACGGCACGAUCGUCCUCGAUACCGUUACCACGAUACACAACGCGUUGAAAUCCUAUUUGCUCUAUGAUAACAGCUCCACGUUGGGAUCCGCCACGAAUCAAGUAUACCAAGCACUAGCGCAGUUGCUGAAACUCUGCGACGAUGUAUUAUUGCACGGUGAUCAGUCCUCCGCUUUGGACACCGAAAACGUGACGCACGUUAUUGGGUUGGUGGAGGAAGCGGUGAAAAAUUUAGUAGCCCUGGCGCACGAGAAGAUCGCUAAUAAGCAGAAACCAGCGUCUGCGGCAAAUAGUAACAGAACUUCUGGUUAUGGAUCGGAACUAACGCAAAGAAACUCUCUGCCGGACAUACCGUUGACGCCAAGAGAACGGCAGAUCUUGGAGCAAACAGCGGCGAGCAGUAGUCUGGUUCGCAGCUCGCAUAGUUCGGAGUCGAUUUUACGGGAUUCUAGUCCACCCCCGAAACCCCCGCUACCCGACAGAACAAAUGUGUGUUUGUCGGAGGAAAACAGCUCGUCUGGCACACCUCCUCCGUUACCGCCGAAGAGAAGAACGAGGACCCAGCAGCUCCUCGACGAGUCGGAGGGUCUUCUGGCAUCUAGUCUUGAUAGAGUAUCCCUUCGAAGUCGAUCCCCGGAGGACUCGUCGUCGCUUCUGAGCGCGUCCGCCGGUAGUUUGGAUUCGGCUCUGAAUCAUUCCCGAGAUGAGGACGAGAUUCGAGCUAUAAUGGGACCAAAUGACGAGUCUUUGAAUGACAGUAUGGACCUAAGUCUCAUGGCUACUAUUCAAGGCAUGCAAGUUAAUGGUACUUCAAACUGUAAUUGCUGGGAUGGGUCUGAAACUAGUAUACCAAGUACUAUGUUGCUAGGCCAACAAACGCCUCAAGAAAUGCUUAGUCCAUUCACUGGCAUAGAAGGGAAGAUGGAGCGAUUGUCUACUCAAACACAGGAAUCAGGCUUUGUUUCGAUGCACUCGCAGCGAAGUUCAUCCCAAAGUUACACCGCGUCCAGCAUGACGUCCAAGAGAUCGUCGCAGCAGAGCAGCAUUAGUUAUAAUUCUCAAUCGUUUAGUGCGCAACAACAGUCGUUCUCUCAGACCAAAUCAUCCUCGGAUAGUAACGGCUCUAUUUUUACACAGAAGACCAUGACUAGUUCCAAAAGUACUGUUAGCACGACUAAUGUAUCUGGAAACGGAGACCCAGCUUUAUUGGAGAAACUGGUAAAUGAAAUGGAAUCGGUAGCUACGUCCGAUUCUAACGGAGUGCCUCCGGCGUUGCCGGAGAAGCGAUCCAAAAGAAGGAAAGAACGUCAGCCAUCGCAGUACGAUAAUGUACCAGAAAAUGAGCAUUUAUCCACGUGCAGUUUGCACACCAGCAACGGAGACAGUCCGGAUGCCAGCAAGCCGCCUCCUCUGCCUCUGAAAAAACGUCACAUGUUCCAAUCAGUGGCAUAUUCUGUCAUGGCGUACAUGGAGAUGUUUGGAAACUGCUCCCACAGUAAUAACGAUUUCAUCUCCGGUCUCGGUACUCGGCAUUCUGUAGCAGCCUACAACUCGAUGCAAGCAGAAUGGCAGCAACAUGAGAUGUCUCUUACCACAACACAAUCAUGUUCCUUUAUGGCGCACACCGUGACUGAAUUACGUGACAGCUCAAGCCUUUCUAUGACUCCAGCACCGACUUUAGUAUCGGUAGAUGCAACAAAUAAUUCUAGUCUGCCGCCGGCGUUACCACCAAAGAGAUCUCGUUCCAUCAAAUCAAACUCUACACCUCCGCCGAUAUCGCCGAAACCUACGAUCAGUAUGCAAAGUAUUAAUAACUCGGAUCCCCUCGUGACAUCAACGCCCCUGAAGCCAGACGAGCCAGCUCACGUGCAAGAGAAGAAAGACGUUACACCUUCCACUCCAGUGAAAUCGAAUAAUAAUAUUAUCUUGGACGCAGCAUUGCCGUCGUCCAGGCCGGCUAGUAAUGCGCUUUCUUCCAUAUCAGUUGACGAAAACACUCUUGAACUGAGGGACGUCGAUCAAGACGACAGUAUUUUAGACGAAUUAGACAUUAGCAAAUACUUGGUAUUGAAGAAAGCGGAAGAGGAAGGGCCGGAUAUACGCGGUGGACAUCCCGAUGCAUUACUAAUCCAUGCGACGAAAGCGAACAAACACGAUGAGAAAGAAUCAGACUUUCUAUAUCAAGAGGCGUUCUUAACGACGUACAGAACCUUUAUACAGCCGUUAGAACUAAUUCGAAAGCUACACAGACGCCAUCAACGUUUUUCGUGUUCUCCAGAUGUCGUCAAGCAAAGAGCCGCGCGCGAAGCGUUUUCCUUAUUAGUUAGAGUCGUCAGUGAUUUAACAAUAUCCGAUCUCGACGACGUUCUUCUGCAAACUCUAAUGGAAUUUGUGCAGCAAUUGGUGUGCAGCGGGGAUCUCACGAUGGCCAAAGCGUUGCGAGUUAAGAUUUUAGAGAAGCACAGUCUCAAGCAGCUGCAAGCGGCACAGCCGAUUCUCUCGUCUUUAAGUGUAACAACGAAGCAGGCAUCUCUGUUGGACUUCAAAAGCGAACAGAUCGCGGAACAAAUGACACUGCUCGAUGCCGAUUUGUUCAUGAAAAUAGAAAUUCCAGAAGUGCUGAUCUGGGCGCAGGAGCAGAACGAGGAGAGAAGUCCGAAUCUUACGAGAUUCACUGAGCAUUUCAACAAAAUGUCGUACUGGGCACGAUCUAGGAUACUAGAACAUCGAUUAGAAAAUGAGGCGAAAGACAGGGAGAAAUACGUUGUAAAGUUCAUCAAAAUAAUGAAACACCUUAGGAAGAUUAACAAUUUCAAUAGCUAUCUCGCAUUGUUGUCUGCACUGGACAGUGCACCCAUUAGGAGACUCGAGUGGCAGAAGCAUAUUACGGAAGGUCUCAAGGAGUAUUGCGCCCUCAUCGACAGCUCUAGCAGUUUCCGAGCCUAUAGACAAGCUCUAGCAGAUACACAACCACCAUGUAUUCCUUAUAUCGGACUUGUUUUACAAGAUCUUACGUUUGUGCAUAUUGGAAAUAGCGAUUUAUUACCAGAUGGCACUAUAAACUUCUCAAAGAGAUGGCAACAAUAUAACAUUGUUGAAAAUAUGAAAAGAUUUAAGAAAGGCACGUACUCUUUCAAGAAACACGAACGCAUCAUAACAUUUUUCAACAACUUUAGUGAUUUCCUCUGUGAGGAGGCGAUGUGGCAGAUUUCCGAAAGUAUCAAGCCACGUGGCGGCAAGAAGACGCAGUCGCAAAACUAGAAUAUACCUAACCCUUUCACUGCCUGCGUCUCGAAAUCGAAAGGCUGAAACACACACACACACACACACACACACACAUACACACACACAGUGAAUUAGGAGAUUUAUAUUUAGGUAUAUACUUUUUUGCGGAGAAAUUCUACAACGCUCUAAGAGCGGUGAAAGGGUUAGCGAGUCUAUCCCUUUUCGACAACCUCUGUGAGGUUGUGUCUUACUGUAUUAUUAAACUUUACGGAAAUUUUAGUAUUGGAAACGUAUGAAUUCAGUAUUUAGUAGGCUCAGUAUAACAUACUGCACUAUUUAACUUAAAGUAAUUAUACGUUUGUAAAAAUUCGCAUCAAUUCGAGAUCGAAACGCCAAAAGCUCGGAUUCAUUGAAGAACGCUAGGUAAAAACCAAUAUCUAUCCCAGUGCAUUUUUAAUAGUCUUUCCGUUUUGUUACAAGCCGAUAUGAAGUAUUUGCUAUGAAGAUAUGCAACUUAUACUUAACUUACAAACUGUAACAAUGUUUAUCCUAAUAUUAAUGAGAGAAACCCCGAUCUUCAACUGUUCUAGAUACAUUUAAGAAACGACUUAUUUAUUUGUCUUUGCUAGCGAAUUGUAUAAAGUAGUACGUGUUUUUCUUUUUAAUUUAUUUAAAUGUAUGUAAACGUCCAUUUCUAGCUUUAUGUAGGUAAGCGAAUUUUCGAGCGUCAACAGAACACUGUUGAUUACACAAGGAUGAACACCAAUUACGUUGAUUAAUGUAGGGCCAUUGUAGUCUCGUGUUUAGCGCUCUGGCGCGCAUAUCUCGGGACACAUGGUACGACUGAGCGCAACUGUUACAUAUACUAUUGUAUAUGAUGAUAGGAAAAAAAAAAAACAUUUUUGUUGGCAACUUGUUAUUAGAUAUCAAAGCUUUCAACUUUAACUCACAUCACUACCUAACGAUUAUGGGGUAAGAUAAAUAUGUAAUUAAAAUUUUUAUCCAAAUUUAAUUUAACUCCAUAAUUUAUCAGUUUUCGAAGCGAUUUUUUCAACUAAAAACUUGAAAUAUUCUCCUAAACUUGAACACUAAUUUUCAUAAUACAUUCCACGGGACAAGCAAUUGGAUUAAUUUUGCCACGAUUGAAAGUGGAUAUAUCUUGUAUUUUUUUUUCUAACACUCAAUGACACCACUUUUAGAUAUAAUCCACAAUGGAAGAUGUUGCCAUAUAAUAAUAAAUAUAGCAGUUUGCGUGCCUCUUCUUCAAGAAUGAAUCAAGUGAAUGAAUCCGCCUGUCAAUCUCUUUUUUAGUUUAUUAUUUGGGUAAUAAUGCUUCACCCGUGUAAUAAUAACCGGUAAAUAUAUAUAUAUAUAUGAAUGAUUCAUCGAUUCUCAAACUUCAUCUUGGAUACGUGUAACAUCAAGAUUUGUAAUAUUUAGUGAUAUAACAGCAACAGAAAAGGCCUAAGCAUUUAGUUGACAACUGACAUCGUUCUAGUACAAAACACGGGUAAUAGCAAUCCAGAGAAAUUAAUUGCCAGGAUAGAUACGCAAAAUUUUAAAAAGUAGUUGAAAAGCUGCCAUAUACGUAUAAAAGUUAGUGUCAAUAGUUUGAAUUCUACCGAGCGAACUCCCACAAACUUAGAUAGAAAGAUCUGCAUAAAUCCCUUCAUCCUCGACAUUCAUGACACUCGCUUGUGACAUUGUGCGGAAAAGAAAUUCUUAAAAAUUAAUGUGAUAUAAUUGGCUAAUGAAUACGCAAUAUGAAUGAAAUUGUACAUAACGUUGCGUUUGUUUAUGCCACUUAUUUAUGAUACGAAAUCAUUGUAGAAUCUUGCGGGAAAACAGCUAGCUUACGCACAUUAUAUGUGACAAGUAUGCAGCAACAAUAGCGCACAUAUUGCUACUUUGUCGUCAGUAUUCAGUUCAUUACCGGUGCAUGAGUGAAUGCGUGUGCGUGUUUUAUGUUUUCGCCCACUCUAGCUAAUGUCGAAAUGAUUUUUCUCAAUAUAGCAUUAAGCAGAGAUCUAUUAACGCUGUAAAUAAUUUACUUGUAUACAUAAUUUCAUGAAUUUAUAUCGCGUGUAUCUACCAUUGUAUCGAUAAUUGUAAAUGUACAGUAUAUUGCAUCAGGCUAGUAAUUUUUUUUAAGUUUAUUGAAUCAUUGUGAUGCCAUCUUAGGUUCGCAUACAGCGCAUGCAUAAUUUUUUUUAUACUAUAUUUUAAUUUAAUUUUUGCAUUAAAUGAGAAGCGAUCGUAUAAUCGACUUGUGUCUUAUCUACUUUUUCAAUUUCUAUCAUAUUGUUUCUCGAGGCAGCUGUUAUACAUAUUUUUGCAUAUAGGCUUCUAAUGACAUCUUUAUCUUCCAAUGUUGAUAAACAACCGUUUAUAUUUUGUACAAUAUUUUUUAGAAAUUCUGUUAAUAGUUGAAAGACCUUCCCGAGAGACAAUUGUACGGAUCGGCACUGUAUCAUAAUUUCUAUAAUUGCAUGAAGAUUCUGUUAGACUAUUGGCAGAAUUUCCUUUUUACAUAUUACGAACGAAUAUAUAAGUAAAUAAUCUUAAGUACUAUAUUACCAAAAUACGAGUGAGAUGAUCCAUUGAAUGUGCAACGAAGAAGUUAGACUCGAUCUACUAAUUAGAUAGGCAAUUAAGCUGCUUUGCAAGUAGGAAAUUGAGUUGCUAAGAAGACGAAACACAAUUACCGCAACUGCUUUCUUCUUACGCUCGAUACUUGACUAAUAAACUAGAGAGUAACAUAGUUAGGCGGUAACGUAGCUGUAUUUUCUUUUUUCUAUCAUUUGCUGAAUGUCUUAGCUUCAAAAUGACAGUCUGAAUGAAAUGGACUCUAAAGCAAUUGCUGUUAACGUUAAAAAAAAAAAAAAAUUACAAUUAAACACGUGAUAUAUAUAUUACAUAUAUAUCGUGUAAUUUUACCGCAUACUCGGAUUUUAAGGCGAGGUUUAUUUGCACGUUCGGAGGUCGAUCGUACAAUAUUUAUUACACUGUAUAUAUGCAUAUGUUGGUAAUCUAGUCUAACAACGGAACGAACUAUGUUGUCAAUAUUUAAAAUGUAUACCUCGGCACACACACAUCUAAGCGUUUUAAGGUCUAAAGGCAAAACUAGUUUCUACAUCAGAGACGGACUUGUAUCAAAAUUAUUUGUCCCACACAUGGGCUUCCUCGCUCGGUCAUACAUGCAUCUCGGCCGAAAAACUCAAUAAAAUUGAAUCAAAUAACUCUCGCCGAAAAUGGAUUAACGUUCUUCUGCGUGUACUGUUAAAAUAGGAAGUGGCAAUUCAAGUCCGCGCAAAUCGACGCAAAGGUGCACUGCGGGAAAGGAUGUGAGACCGAUCGUCUCGCAAGGAACCUUCCCGCUGCUGUAUCGCUGCGUCAGUUUGGGCCGUCUUUUAUUAGUAGCAAAUACCGAUAAGUACCAAAACAAGUAAUAAUCGCUAUCGAUGUGUUACCAAUUCUUUGUCAAAAGAUAUAUGUAUGUAACUUUGCACUCACAUAGAUCUCACGGUAAGUAUUAGAAAGUAUCACACAUAAAAAAAACUGCGUAUCGACGCUUCAUUGAUUUAUGUUCCAUCAGAAUAUUUAUUACUACAGCAACAAAGAUGACAUAUCCACGGAACACUACUUGUAGGGCAGUAAAUUAGAAAAAAAAAAAAUAGAAAAAAAGAUAGAAAGUGAAUAAGAAAUGUAUUAAAGUACCGUAUUUAAAGUAAUUUUAAUGAUCCAGAAAUUGAUUUAGUUUUACUUGCGCUGCGUAAUCACACAGAUGAGUCGACUAUUUCAGACGAAUAAUAAUCAAAAAAUAUUGUAAUAUAAAUUUUACAUUGCAUAUAGUGCAGAAAAAAAAAUACAAAAUCCGUACAUUUUAAAUAAUAGAAGAUUGUUGACUACGUUGGAGACUAAUUAAAAAUAUAGAAUUAGUUGCAAUUUUUGAAGUGAAUAAUUUUUUGAAAUAUGCAUACAACUCACCAUGAAAGGUACAGAUCUGAAUUUACUGUGUAAUAUUCUGAUGUCCAUGAUAAACAUCUAGUCAAUAAUAAACAGUUCAGUCUGGCGUAAAAGCAAAAAGAAGAAAGUAUUACAGAAUAAUAACUGAUAACCAAUAUUUGGAAACGCUCAUAUUUUGAAUAAGCAAUAUCUGCAUUUAAUAAGAAAUUCCUUCGGGCUCAUAUCAUUUUUAAGUACAGCUACUUUGUGCAAUUGCCACGCGACGAUAAAGCAUUGCAUCUUUAUACUCGUGAUAUACGUAUUCAAUUAUAUCUGUCGAAAUGUAUUUUACUGUUAGACGUCAAAAAGAAGGCGGGUGCAGGCAAAAUGGAAUACUACUUAGUAUUUGCGGAAUAUAUGUGUCUCAUUCUACAAGACUAUCAAACAUUAUGAGAUGUGUAAUCACUGAAAAUAACGGAAGCGGACAAUUGAUUAAGCAUAUCAUUUGUAAGUACGUGAUAUUACUAAGUGUUGUAUUCGACGUCCUUAACUACGCUAUAACGAUAAUUGUGACGGAUUUUAAUCGACACAUGAAAUAUAUCAUGCUCACGCGUUUCAUUGUACAAUUUAUUCCGUAGCCCAUCGUCAUAUUUUUCUAAUCUGUAUUUUCAUUAUGGUCGUGUAUACUACAACGUACGUCAUGAUACAAUGGAUACAAUUUGUAUGAAGAUCUUUCGAUGUCAAUGCAAUUAAUGUUCAACCAACACUAAUGAGUAUUAUCGACAUCAUUUUUCUCUUUCUCUUUUUAUGUUCUGAAUACAUAUUGAAGAUUUGUAUGCAUACAAAUUUUGGAUCAAAUGUUAUUGCUUUUUUUGUAAUGAAUGUACGAAGAAGUGAAAUAAAAAUGUGUUAGUCGA